rnacentral:rRNA from 1 species
AUUGAACGCUGGCGGCAGGCCUAACACAUGCAAGUCGAGCGGACGAACGGAGAUUGCUCCUGGAUUCAGCGGCGGACGGGCGAGUAAUGCCUACGUAUCUGCCUGGUAGUGGGGACUAACGUCCGUAAAGGGAACCUAAUCCAGUAUCCGUCCUGAGGGUGAAAGUGAUGGUUCUUUGGACCUCAAGCUAUUUGCUGACCCUACGUCGCAUUAGCUAGUUGGUGGGGUAAAGGCGUACCAAGGCGACGAUCCGUAACUGGUCUGAGAGGAUGAUCAGUCACACUGGAACUGAGACACGGUCCAGACUCCUACGGGAGGCAGCAGUGGGGAAUAUUCGGCAAUGGGCGAAAGCCUGAUCCAGCCAUGCCGCGUGAGUGAAGAAGGUCUUCGGAUUGUAAAGCACUGUAAGUUGGGAGGAAGGGCAGUAAGAUAAUACCUUGCUGUUUUGACGUUACCAACAGAAUAAGCACCGGCUAACUUCGUG